rnacentral:rRNA from 1 species
GAUGAACGCUGGCGGCGUGCCUAAUACAUGCAAGUCGAGCGAACAGAUAAGGAGCUUGCUCCUUUGACGUUAGCGGCGGACGGGUGAGUAACACGUGGGUAACCUAUCUAUAAGACUGGAAUAACUCCGGGAAACCGGGACUAAUGCCGGAUAACAUGUUGAACCGCAUGGUUCUACAGUGAAAGGCGGCUUUGCUGUCACUUAUAGAUGGACCCGCGCCGUAUUAGCUAGUUGGGGAGGUAAAGGCUCACCAAGGCAACGAUACGUAGCCGACCUGAGAGGGUGAUCGGCCACACUGGAACUGGGCCACGGUCCAGACUCCUACGGGAGGCAGCAGUAGGGAAUCUUCCGCAAUGGGCGAAAGCCUGACGGAGCAACGCCGCGUGAGUGAUGAAGGUCUUCGGAUCGUAAAGCUCUGUUAUUAGGGAAGAACAAAUGCGUAAGUAACUGUGCGCGUCUUGACGGUACCUAAUCAGAAAGCCACGGCUAACUACGUG